AGCAUUGUCGAUAUUACAUUGAGGGUGAUUGUUGGUCACAUAAUGAUCACCACAUUUGAAGGCAUCUACCCAAGAUAGGGGCAUCGAAAAGCAACAAAUAGACAUUAUAUAAUAAUAGGUAUAUUUAUCCGCACUCACUAUCCCUCUAGCUCGAAGACAGUAAAUGUAUAUCAAGAAAGGUAUCAUUUCCAGGUCACUUGAACACAAGCAAGCAAACCCAUAAUUUUCGCUGCAGGAAAAUCGGGCUUGAUGAAAGAAAACAUAACUUAACCCCCCAAUUUAAAGACGGAGAAUGGGUCGGAAAAUAGAAGCACAAAAGGGAUAUCACGCUGCGUCAAAUGGGAAAUUCAACAAGACUAGGAUCCGAGCUUUAAAGGUAAACUGCGAGAACGCCAGGCACAAGAGCAGUGACUACGAGAAGAGCAGCGUGCCAAUUCCAGGCUGCAUUAGUCCCUGAUGUACUAGGCGGGACGGCUACCAAAUUCCCACCGGAUCCACUGCUGCCUCCGCUGCCUCCGCUGCCGCCGCUACCACCAGAAGGUGGUUCUGGCGGGUCAGUCGCACUGGCUGGAGGACUGAAGGUCGCUGUGGCUGUGUACUCGCCGAAAGAAGACGAAGCAUCCUCCGAGUUUGAGGCGUAGAAGGAAACGACACUUGUAGUAGUUGUGGUUGUGGUUGUCCGGAUUGUGAUCGAUGUGUAAAAUACGACGCGGUAUGUCCUGGUGGAUGUUAGACAAAUCUCUCAUUUGUUUCGCCCACCUCCUCGUCAUGAAGCUCAGAAAGCUAGAGGGAACACAGAUAUGGGAUCGGAAAAUCAGGGCAGAGGAAAGUCAACUUACCAGGUUACUGUCCAGGUAUAGUAGUCGAAACUAGGCCUCGUGGGUGGAGGGUUGGAUGGUGGGGGAGUAGGCCUAGGAGACCCGCCGCCGCCACCACCGCUCCCGCACUCGCCAUGAGGACAGCACUUCGGCACGCCGUUAAUAAGCCAGCACUCAUACCCGGCAUUGCAAUGCCUGCCCGCUGUCCGGCAGCAUUCCUCAUUGUCAUCAAUGCAGCCGUCAUGGCAGCAUUUCCGUCCAGGACCACAAACGAUACCACCGCCGCAGCAGCUCCAGGACAGAGACGGAAUACAAGUGCCAUCGGAGAGGCAACAGUACUGAGUGCAUCGCGCCGGGCAGUCGCGUUUCGUUAGGGAUUUCUGGUUUCCGGUGUCAGCGAGUGUCACAUUGUCAGCCACAUCUCGAGUGCCGAGCAAGACAUCGGAAAAGUCUGAGACCAAUUCGCCGGCCUCCAGCGCGGAGCAAGAGGCUGAGAGUGUGACGAGAGCAAGAGCGGCUACGCGCGACCACGAAGGCAUUGUGUAAACACGACGAUGCGACAGGCGAAAAGGACCGCAAAAGGUAAAUGGAGAAAAUUUGGUGAUAUGAGCUCAGGUCA
rnacentral:sRNA from 1 species